CUUGCAUCCGUGAGCUCUUCCGCUUCCUUAUCUCCCUCACAAAUCCACAUGACCGCCAUAACUCUGAGGUUAUGAUCCACAUGGGACUUCAUUUGCUGACAGUAGCUCUUGAGUCAGCCCCUGUGGCCCAGUGCCAGACCCUCUUGGGUCUCAUCAAGGAUGAGAUGUGCCGACACUUAUUCCAGGUAAGACUGGGUUGCCCAGAGAUCUUGGUUGUUUUUUGAGAUUGAGAAGCCACUAGAAUAUGAUUAGCUUCCUUUCAGUUGGCCAGAAGCCACAGUAAAAGUUCCCAUAGCUCUCCAAGGACUUGAAGAAGGAAUGGCUAAAUCAAAACCCAGUCUUGGUACAUAUCUGUAAUCCAGCACUUGGGAGGGAGAGGCAGGAAGAUAAGCAAUCCAAGGUAAUUUUCAGCUAUGUAGUGAACCAGCCUGAGCUACAUGAGCUCCUAUCUCAAACAAACUAACAAACAAACAACAAAAUAACAAAAACAAGCCAACAAGAUGGCUCAGUGGUAAAAGGAUGUACCAUCAAGCCUGAUGUGCUGAAUUGAUCCUAGAAGGUGGAAUGAGAGGAGUGUCUCCUUGGGAUGUACCUUUUCAUGUGUGCCCUGCUCCCCUCCUACACAAAAACAAAUAAAUGGAAAAUAAAGUUUGUUUUUGACAAAAAG
rnacentral:lncRNA from 1 species